rnacentral:rRNA from 1 species
CCACUGCUAUCGGGAUAGACUAGACAUGCUAGUCAUGCGCUUCUAGCUAUGUGAGAGCGCGCGUACAGCUCAGUAACACGUGGCUAACUGCCCUUGGGACGGGAAUACCCCCGAGAAACUGGGGCUAAUUCCGAUAGGUGAAGAAUUCUGGAAUGAAUUUUCGCCAAAAGGACAUUUAUGUCAUGCUCAUAGGUGUUGCCCAGGGAUGGGGCCGCGUCCGAUCAGGUAGUUGGUGAGGUAAUGGCUCACCAAGCCUUUUACCGGUGCGGGCCGUGAGAGCGGGAGCCCGGAGAUGGGCACUGAGACAAGGGCCCAGGCCCUACGGGGCGCAGCAGUCGCGAAAACUUUGCAAUACACGAAAGUGUGACAAGGCUAUCCCGAGUGCCAUCCGCUGAGGAAGGCUUUUACCCAGUAUAAAUAGCUGGGAGAAUAAGGAGAGGGCAAGUCUGGUGUCAGCCGCCGCGGUAAUACCAGCUCUCCGAGUAGUGUGGAUGUUUAUUGGGCCUAAAGCAUCCGUAGCUUGCUAUGCAAGUCCCCUGUUAAAUCCACCGAUUUAAUCGUUGGAUUGCGGGGGAUACUGUUUGGCUAGGGGACGGGAGAGGCCGACGGUAUUUCCGGGGUAGGGGUGAAAUCCUAUAAUCCCGGGAAGACCACCAGUGGCGAAGGCUGUCGGCUAGAACGCGCCCGACGGUGAGGGAUGAAAGCUGGGGGAGCGAACCGGAUUAGAUACCCGGGUAGUCCCAGCUGUAAACGAUGCAGGCUAGGUGUUUGGGCGGCCACGAGCCGCUCUAGUGCCGCAGGGAAGCUAUUAAGCCUGCCGCCUGGGGAGUACAGCCGCAAGGCUGAAACUUAAAGGAAUUGGCGGGGGAGCACCACAAGGGGUGAAGCUUGCGGUUUAAUUGGAGUCAACGCCGG